UUACGGUCAAAUCACGCUGAAAACGCCGGUUCUCGUUCGAUCACCGAAGUUAAGCAUCGUAGAGCCAGGUCAGUACUUAGAUGGGGGACCGCUCGGGAACACCUGGUACUGUAAA
rnacentral:rRNA from 1 species